rnacentral:rRNA from 1 species
GAUGAACGCUGGCGGCGUGCCUAAUACAUGCAAGUCGAGCGAACGGACGAGAAGCUUGCUUCUCUGAUGUUAGCGGCGGACGGGUGAGUAACACGUGGAUAACCUACCUAUAAGACUGGGAUAAAUUCGGGAAACCGGAGCUAAUACCGGAUAAUAUUUUGAACUGCAUGGUUCAAAAGUGAAAGACGGUCUUGCUGUCUCUUAUAGAUGGAUCCGCGCUGCAUUAGCUAGUUGGUAAGGUAACGGCUUACCAAGGCAACGAUGCAUAGCCGACCUGAGAGGGUGAUCGGCCACACUGGAACUGAGACACGGUCCAGACUCCUACGGGAGGCAGCAGUAGGGAAUCUUCCGCAAUGGGCGAAAGCCUGACGGAGCAACGCCGCGUGAGUGAUGAAGGUCUUCGGAUCGUAAAACUCUGUUAUUAGGGAAGAACAUAUGUGUAAGUAACUGUGCACAUCUUGACGGUACCUAAUCAGAAAGCCACGGCUAACUACGUG